CCGCCAUUAGAGAAUAAACGUGUCUCCAGUUGCUUCUGCUCCUCGAGUUUUCUUCCAGCUUCCCGGCUCACACCUUGCCUACCUUGGGUUCAGCGAACAAUAUGAACAGCAAGAUAAAAGUAUAUAAGGAGGAUCAUAUUCCACCAAACCAAAAACAAGGGCCAAGCCUCAAUGUAACCAAGAGUUAAACCUGAUAGAUAAGGAAAGCAACUUUUCACUGAAGAAAUUGCAGGCCCUGGAUAAUAUAUACCAGAAGGAACAAGAUUUGACCGGAAACCUGUUUUGAUGACUUCUCUGUUCAUGGCAUUACUGGGUACCUGCUCAAUUUUUGCUCCAGCCUUUCCAAUUUCCUGUACAAUUAGAUUUGUUUGGGCAUCAUCAUUGGCAGCAGUAUACAGCAAUUCUCUUGUACUUCUUACAGAAUGGGUUCCAACCAGUGCCAGACCUAUCAUCAUGACAACGAGGGCUCUGCUUCCGACCACUGGGCAGGGGGUACUGGCUGGGCUGGCCUGCGUCUUCCGGGAUUGAUACAUGCUACGGUGGUUCAUGUCUGUGCCUUACUUCAUCUUUUUUCUGUUCCUCUGGUGGUGAUCUGAAUCUGUUUGUUGGCUGAUUGUAUCUGGCAAGUUGGAUAAAGCAUUCAAGAAAAUGAAGAAAGUAGCCAGUUAAAUGGAAGAAAAGAUGAGACAAAAAGUAUAAGAAAACAGGUACCAGAGAAGAAGAGAUCAGUCAUCUCCCGGACACCACAGAGUGCUAUCAUCAUCAUCCUUGGACAGCUUCAGUGAGAUAGGAGCUUGUUCCUAUUCAGCCUCUGCAGAACGAACUCUGAGAGAUGUCCUUCUGAUGUCAACUCACAACCCAUUUUAUGGCUUGGAAGAACACUGGGAAUUUCUUCAGGUGCACAUGAGGAAACACUCUGGACUUAAAACCAGGAAAUGCUGCUUCCAAAUCAUGGUCAGUACCUUACUAAUCAUUAAACACUUGAGCUUUCUGUCUCUUCAAAGCUUAUUCCUUCACUUGAAGUGAGAUAUUGUUUUUUGCCCUUCUUACCUUACAGGGUUAUUAUGGUGAUGUGAUGGAUAUGUUAAAUAUAUAUAUAUAUGUGUAUAUAUAUACAAACACACA